GCAUUAAUGGGGUAGUGGUAACCUGGGUCGUUGCCAUCGACCUGCCGGGGGUUUGAUUCCCUCUUAAUGCA
rnacentral:tRNA from 1 species